rnacentral:rRNA from 1 species
UACGUAGGUGGCAAGCGUUGUUCGGCAUUAUUGGGCGUCAAGGGCGCGUAGGCGGCUUGCUAAGUCGGUUGUGAAAGCCCGGGGCUCAACCCCGGAGAGUCGACCGAUACUGGCGAGCUAGAGUACGGAAGAGGUAGCUGGAAUUCCCGGUGUAGCGGUGAAAUGCGUAGAUAUCGAGAGGAACACCAGCGGCGAAGGCGGCUCACUGGGCUCCACCUGACGCUGAGGCGCGAAAGCGUGGGGAGCGAACCGG